rnacentral:rRNA from 1 species
UACGUAGGGGGCAAGCGUUUGUCCGGAAUCAUUGGGCGUAAAGAGCGUGUAGGCGGCCCGAUAAGUCCGCUGUGAAAGUCCAGGGCUCAACCCUGGGAUGCCGGUGGAUACUGUCGGGCUCGAGUCCGGAAGAGGAGUGUGGAAUUCCUGGUGUAGCGGUGAAAUGCGCAGAUAUCAGGAGGAACACCAAUGGCGAAGGCAGCACUCUGGGACGUGACUGACGCUGAGACGCGAAAGCGUGGGGAGCGAACAGG